rnacentral:rRNA from 1 species
AUUGAACGCUGGCGGCAGGCCUAACACAUGCAAGUCGAGCGGAUGAAGGGAGCUUGCUCCUGGAUUCAGCGGCGGACGGGUGAGUAAUGCCUAGGAAUCUGCCUGGUAGUGGGGGAUAACGUCCGGAAACGGGCGCUAAUACCGCAUACGUCCUGAGGGAGAAAGUGGGGGAUCUUCGGACCUCACGCUAUCAGAUGAGCCUAGGUCGGAUUAGCUAGUUGGUGGGGUAAAGGCCUACCAAGGCGACGAUCCGUAACUGGUCUGAGAGGAUGAUCAGUCAAACUGGAACUGAGACACGGUCCAGACUCCUACGGGAGGCAGCAGUGGGGAAUAUUGGACAAUGGGCGAAAGCCUGAUCCAGCCAUGCCGCGUGUGUGAAGAAGGUCUUCGGAUUGUAAAGCACUUUAAGUUGGGAGGAAGGGAAGUAAGUUAAUACCUUGCUGUUUUGACGUUACCAACAGAAUAAGCACCGGCUAACUUCGUG